UUUAGAAUUAGAGAAUGUUUUCUUUUGCCUCUUCAUCAUCAGAAUCGAUAAUAUAAAAUAUAAUAAAUCUAUAAACUGUAGACAGAAGUUUCUGAAACUGUGUAGAUAUUUAAAUUUAUUUUUAAAAUAUAUGAAUUAUUAUAGAUACAAUCUGUGGAUACACCUAAUCUCUGUAAGUGUCCUUGGGCCACAUAAAAUACUCUGGAGGGCCAAAUAUGGACUUCGGAUCAUAAUUUGUCCACCCAUGGUCUAGAUAUAUUAACACUUAAUUACUUGAUUGAUUCUAAAUUAAUGCAAUUUUACUCAACAGAAGCUUUGUUUUUUUAAAUUAUCUUUAAAAUUUUAUUUGUAGUCUUAUCUUAAACUGCCAAGAGUGGAUGAAAUAAUUAUUUAUUUUUGUGUUUUCACCUUAAUUAAGUAUAAGUAAAUGCCUUAAAAUAGAUAGAUUUUUUAUGUCAGGCUAAGCACUUUUCAAAUAGUCUUGAGCACUAGGAUUGUAAGUAAGUUAGAGCUAUAUUGUUUUCUUUGUUUUUCCACCAUCAUGUGAUAAUCUUAUAUGAAUAUAUAUUUUUAUUCUGUAAUCUACAUUUUACGUUAAAAAAGUUUUUUUUUACACAAUAUGUCAGUGUGAUAUUGUUUUAAUUUUAAAAACCCUUGACUGUAAGAUGAAGUUGAUCCCAAGUUAUGAAGUUUGAUAUUUUUACAUAAUUAAUGGUCCUUGGUACUAUUCUACAGAUUGUGAAUCAGAUUUUUGUGUGCAUUUUUUGUAAUUACGCAAGAUAUUCAAGAACAGAGUACAAGAGGCUGCAAUAUAGCCCACAUUAAGUAUGUACAUUAAAUUUCAAUUUUCAUUGAAAGCCAUAAUUUUACUUAAAUCUUUUUUUUUUUGUGAAAAUGAUCUUCAACUAGUUGCAAUAUUUUGGGUUCUUGGCACAAUUAAUUAUUCACUAUUUGUGCUUGAUCUGUCCUUCACCAUGUAUUUAUGCAUAUCAAUCAGGACAUUUAAGACUGUUAUUAAUUUAACUGAUUCUAAAUGUGCUGUUGUUUUUAACAGCAAACUAUGUGUUUUAUUUAUACUUGAUGACAUUUAUAAUGAAAGAUAAAACAAGAAAAAAGAAACCUACAGUUUUUAUUAAUUUUAAUAUUAUGAAAUGGUAUAUGAUUAUUAAAUAACUUAUAAUCACUACCCCUGAGUCAUAUUUCAAUGUAAAAAUUUUUUAAUUUAACUAUACAUAAAACAAAACUCAAAACUGCAAUUCAGAGUUUUAUUUUUUUUUCUAUAAAUUGU